GAUGAACGCUGGCGGCGUGCCUAACACAUGCAAGUCGAGCGAAGCGCCUUACUUGAUUUCUUCGGGAUGAAAGUAUUGUGACUGAGCGGGCGACGGGUGAAGGUACGCGUAGUAAGUAACCUGCUCAUACAGGGGGAUAACAGUUAGAAAUGACUGCUAAUACCGCAUAAGACCACAGCACCGCAUGGUGCAGGGGUAAAAACUCCGGUGGUAUGAGAUGGAUCCGCGUCUGAUUAGCUAGUUGGUAAGGUAACGGCUUACCAAGGCAACGAUCAGUAGCCGACCUGAGAGGGUGACCGGCCACAUUGGGACUGAGACACGGCCCAAA
rnacentral:rRNA from 1 species